CCCUUAGAUGUCCUGGGCCGCACGCGCGCUACACUGAGUGUCUGAGAUACGAGUCUGCCUGGUCCGGCAAGGUCUAGGUAAUCGCUAAAAGACACAUCAUGCUUGGGAUAGAUUAUUGCAAAUAUUAAUCUUGAACGAGGAAUUCCUAGUAAGCGCAAGUCAACAGCUUGCGUUGAUUACGUCCCUGCCCUUUGUACACACCGCCCGUCGCUACUACUGAUUGGAUGUUUAAGCGAGGUUCUCGAACUGCUAGCGACUUAGCCUCGGUGAGGUCGCAGUGUGGGAAGUGAACCGAGCUUUGGUGUCUAGAGGAAGUAAAAGUCGUAACA
rnacentral:rRNA from 1 species